UGCUGUGAUGGUGUAAUUUGCGUCCUACUCUGCGUGUAGCGACAGUUGCCUGCUGUCACAUGCUUGCGCUGAAGGGUGACGAAAAUCAAAUCUGAGCU
ensembl:snoRNA SNORD16 Small nucleolar RNA SNORD16